rnacentral:lncRNA from 1 species
AAAAAAUAGCUACUCAGACAAGCAGGUGCAUAAAAGGAGAUAAUUCCAACCCAUUAAUUGGUGUCUACUGCCUUAGUGAGCUGGAGAUUGGCUUUUUUCUAAUACUUGGUUCCAGGGACUGAUCAGGAAGUAGCAUAUCUGACCAGAGCUCAAACUAAAGUUCUAGAACCAGGUAAAUCUUUCAGAAUGCAACAAGGGAUACUUUAGAACCCCACGUACACUGGAUCAUUUACUCAAUAUGCCUGUGUGUACUUCUUUUGAGAUCUGACAAUAUUUUUUUAAUUUUUUUUGUUGUUCAUUUAUUUAUUUUGAGAGAGAGAGAGAGAGCAUGAGCAAGAGAGGGGCAGAGAGAGAGGGAGAGAGAGAAUCCCAAGCAGGCUCCGCACUGUCAGUGCAGAGCCCAACACGGGGUCCUAUCUCACCAACUGUGAGAUCAUGACCUGAGCCAAAAUCAAGAGUCAGACGCUUAACUGACUGAGCCACCCAGGUGCCCCUGAGAUUUGACAAUAUCCUUAAACAAAACAAAAAACAUGCUGUUAUGGUGACUCAAAAAAGAGCAAAGAACAUGAAGAGCCUUCGGUCAACUUCUCUUUGUUCAGUUUCUCUGACCAUAACGGGCACAUUCCGGGUAAAAUGGAGGAGAAGGAAGCCGCACCUCUUCAUUCACUUUCUCCUCUCCAGGGAAAGAGCCGGAGGGGUGGGAAGAUAUCCAAGGGACAGGAGGGAAGCCAAGUUCCUUCAGACAGCCCAGAGUAGGCUGUGGCCUCCUGAACCUUCUGCUCCACUGUCGGAUCCGUCUGGGAGGAGAUCCUCAGCCAUGACUGGGAGCGGAAUUUUGCCUCACUCUUUAACUGCCACAUUUCACCUUCCAGACACCCCUGCAAGAAAGGUGUCAUUCUGCCUCCGGUCUGCAGAGCAGCAGGUGAUACGGGCCCAUCGGACCCCAGAUCAUUUGAGCAUUUGGGAAUGGCCUCUGUUUUGGCUUUGUUUGUUUGUUUGUUUCCUGUUUGUUUUGAAAUAAAACACUUUCACUAUGACCUUGGAAACGUCACUUAACCUCAGUUCUCAUUUGUAAAUCUGAAUAAUCAUGAGACUUUCCUCACAAGGCAGUCCCGAAGGGCAAUGAAAUGGGCAACCGUGGCCGACGUUUUUGCGGUACUUAGUCCGUGCAGGGACCGCCCUCAGGGGCUUUAUUCCUUGCAACGGCCUAUGAAUGAGGUAUUAUUAUCAUCAGCUCCAUUUGACGGUGAGGAGACUGGGGCACGGUGAGCUUACGCGACUCGCUCCGUGCCCUCCUGCAGGCAGUGGCGGAGCCCGGCUUAGGCCAGAGGCUGUGGCGUCUGCAUCCGGGAGCUCAGCCACGUGCACCUGGAACGGGGGUCUUAAUCCUGCGUGCGUCAGACUCACGUGCCAGUCCUGCAAAUACCUGCUGAGUCAGACUCCCCAGCCUCCGCAUUUGCAAUCAACCUCCGUGCCUCGGCACGGUCGGUGCUGGAACACAGGCAUUCCCCACUCUGGCUUCCUUCUCCUGACUCACUGGCUCUUCACCAAGUUCUAGGACUGGACUAUUAGGGUUGCCUCUGACCCAUUCCUGACACAUCUAUGUCACCAGCCCGCAUGUCAGGAGGAACAGGUUCUAGUUGCCUCAGGGGGAAACAGCCGUCCUGGGAUCAUCCUUCUCCACCUGUCUGAAGCUAUAUCCGGUCAUGUGACCAGUGGGAGAGAGACUGUGAGCCACGGUGGAUGUGUCACCCAACGUCUCGGUCUUUUAAGUAAACUACACCUGACAACACUGUGUUAUCCCGAGCUCCUUCAGUUUCCUGGAAACUCCCAGGAUGUUUCAGAAGGCAGAGUUCAGCUGUAACUUGGAUGGUAGGAACCCAUGGAACCAGCCAUAGUCAGAUGGCCCUGAACGUUAAAAUAGGCUGGCCCUGAGUUCUCAUACCCCUUUAGGACAUUCCUCUCUCAAAUCAAAAUUUGUUAGUAUGGGUGGGGGUGGAGGGGGGGCGGGGCGCUGGGCACCUGGGUGGCUCAGUAGGUGAAGCGUCUGACUCUUGAUUUCGGUUCAGGUCAUGAUCUCACAGUUUAUGGGUUUGAGCCCCGGAGCCUGCUUGGGAUUCUUUCUCUCCUGCUCUCUGCCCCACCCCCACUCGUUUUCUCUCUCUGGCGCUCUCUCUCUCUCUCUCUCUCUCUCUCUCUGUCUCUCUGUCUCAAUAUAAAUAAAUAAACACUUUAAACAAUUAUUUGUUUAAAG